rnacentral:rRNA from 1 species
ACAUGCAAGUCGAACGGAAGUCGUUAUGAUGAUUUCAACACUGACAGAGAACUUGUUCAAAGAAAGUAGAGAUUGACUUAUAACAAUGGCUUUAGUGGCGGACUGGUGAGUAACACGUGAGCAACCUGCCUAUCAGAGGGGAAUAACAGUGAGAAAUCAUUGCUAAUACCGCAUAUGCCAUAAAUAUCACAUGAUGAAAGUGGGAAAGGAGUAAUCCGCUGAUAGAUGGGCUCGCGUCUGAUUAGAUAGUUGGUGGGGUAACGGCCUACCAAGUCGACGAUCAGUAGCCGGACUGAGAGGUUGAACGGCCACAUUGGGACUGAGAUACGGCCCAGACCCCUACGGGAGGCAGCAGUCGGGAAUAUUGCGCAAUGGAGGAAACUCUGACGCAGUGACGCCGCGUAUAGGAAGAAGGUUUUCGGAUUGUAAACUAUUGUCGUUAGGGAAGAUACAAGACAGUACCUAAGGAGGAAGCUCCGGCUAACUACGUGCCAGCAGCCGCGGUAAUACGUAGGGAGCAAGCGUUAUCCGGAUUUAUUGGGUGUAAAGGGUGCGUAGACGGGAAAGCAAGUUAGUUGUGAAAUCCCUCGGCUUAACUGAGGAACUGCAACUAAAACUACUUUUCUUGAGUGUUGGAGAGGAAAGUGGAAUUCCUAGUGUAGCGGUGAAAUGCGUAGAUAUUAGGAGGAACACCGGUGGCGAAGGCGACUUUCUGGACAAUAACUGACGUUGAGGCACGAAAGUGUGGGGAGCAAACAGGAUUAGAUACCCUGGUAGUCCACACCGUAAACGAUGGAUACUAGGUGUAGGGAACAUUAAGUUUUCUGUGCCGUCGCAAACGCAAUAAGUAUCCCACCUGGGGAGUACGG